UAUUUUUUCAGGUAACUCUCAACGGUUGGGUAAAUCGAGCCGGAUACGAGGAACACAUGUACCAACCAGCGGUGUCGUGGUCGCAUGCAUGCAUGCAUUCGUUUUUGAACAUCUCUGAUCGGCCUGAAUAGUUGUCUCAACCUUGUUUUAAUUUCGGGUGAGCAAAAAUUCAGGUGAAUCUGACAUGCAUUCAAAAUCAACUAAGGAGAACAAAUCAUAUGGAGACUGGGGAGGGACUAGCUCUAGAACUGGAACAACUACAAUGAAAAUUCAAGAUACAAGGAAAAAAGUUUCUCAGUAAAGAAAGAGUUCUGAUCCGGCGCCUGAUACUUGCUGUAAUCUAAGAUUUGAUAAGAGAGCAGAUGAGCAAAGUUCAGGUGUGUGGAUUGAGCCCUAAUUUCACCUUUAAAAGAGUCCAUUCUUAAUCAUUCAUUCCGAAAAGAAAAUCUUUGUCAAGAAUUAAUGACGUUUAAUAUUCCAUGGAUUGCGGUUCUAUGAAUCAUUAUAAAUAUCACGGGAUACGUUGGGCGAAAACAAAUGCGAACCAGUUCAGCGUGUAUCAAUCUGCCCAGUACCACUUUCUACAAGAACCAAGCAAAGAAGAUGCACUUAAUCCAAUAAAAAUUAAAAACAAAGCCUGUCAAUCCAUAUGCAUUCAACCAGACAUUGUGAAUACAAUUAAACAACUUAUAUAGACCAUAAUAAUAAUGGUCCUUAUAGCUACAUAAUUGUAUUCAAACUAAUUAAAUUCGUCAGAGGUGCAAUUUUUGGACAUUAUUCCAUUUUGGUUAUGCUGCAUUUCAACUCUACAUACAUGGAAAUGGGUAAAUUUGUACCAUGUCCAAUUUUGUGGUUAGUUCCAAGGCAUUCUUGAUUAUUGCCUUAUUAGUAUCGUAAACCUUACAGUACAAAUAACCUAUCAAGUAUUUGAUAGGUUUGCAUCCCUUCGUAGGGAUCUAACUACAUCCACUUUAAAAAGUUGCAUUUAAAAUUAGGAAAGUUACUUGUUAAUGUUAUGCCGAGGUUAUAAUAAUACGCAAAUACAUAGAUAAGUCAAGUUGUUGGAUUGUCGACUUAUUUAUGCACUUCAAUUGUCAUAAAGAGGACCGAUCUGUUUUUUUGUAAAAUGGCUGCAUGUAUCAAAAAUCUUUCUUGAAUUACUUACUACUGACUGGGAAAUUCAGGCUUGCGCCUUUAUACAGUUACAGUAUUUAAAUUGUUUGGUGGAGAUUCUGAGAGUUGCCAGUAACUAAAUCUUAAAACUUGUACAGUUGCAGCCUAUAUAGAUAAGCAGCCAAAGUGGAGGGUAUUUUAUUUAUACAUCUCAUCUGGGUCUUAAUUAUAUUCAACCAUUUUUAAUAUCGAUUGCACAAUUUAUAAUAAAUUUACUAAAACUGGUGUGUGUCGUUUUGAUGAUGUACAUAGAUCCAGAAAUUUAGACAAUCUGACCUUGUAUUUUUAUUUUUCCCAUACCAAGUUGCAACUUUCUGCGAAAAUUUUCGAAAACCAACGGUGGCAUCAUCUUGCAUACAAAAAUUUGGUCUCGUGCAUUUAUCUAGUACAUACUCCACCAACGUCUGUAUUUCAGAUCAUUCUGAAUAUUCUGCACCAAACCCGACCUAUACGACCCACUGGUCAACUACUUGACCAAUGUAUCAAAAUCAUGUGCCAAUGUACCAUCAAACUCACUCAUUCAUGAAAAAUUUCAACUCGAUUGAGUAAAUUGAAAGAGAGUUAUUGCGAGCAGACUGGCGAAUCGUUCCCUGACGAGGGCUAAAAAUUUGUUAUUAUUAUUAAAAUCAAUUAGAAUAGUGAUAUGCAGUAGCAAUACACGAAUCUAUCUACUACGUAUAUAUAAACUUAUUUUAUCCUAUCCACAAUUGCAAAAAUUUAUUACACUUAUGUAUCAAGCUUAAAUAAAUACGUGGCUGAAGCAAUA